rnacentral:tRNA from 1 species
AAAGGGAGACCUAAUUCGGGUAGAAGACGAAAAAAAAGUAGUCCCUACCAAGAAUCAAUCCCAAAAGGUCGGAACGAGGUAUGUGGCUUUCAAACUAGGUUCUGGGUUCACAAAAGACCUGAAUCAGGAACAAGGGCUAUUAGCUCAGGUGGUUAGAGCGCACCCCUGAUAAGGGUGAGGUCCCUGGUUCGAGUCCAGGAUGGCCCACCUGCACAGGUGGCAAAAACAAGAGAAACGAGGAAUCAGCACCUUAUCUUACUUACAUAGUAAGAGAGAAUGCUGGCUCUGAGUAAAGAGUCCAGAGGAACCUUGAAAACUGCAUAGAGCUAGGUGAAAAAGCCAAAAAAGAAGACCGCAAG